GACCUGAUAGCACAACGGUUAGUGCCUCUGCUCAUCUUAGCGAAGAAUUGAACGCUUUGGCAGAUGAUCCCCGUUCGAUCCGGGGUCAGGUCG